rnacentral:rRNA from 1 species
AGCGCAGGUGGUUUAUUAAGUCUGGUGUAAAAGGCAGUGGCUCAACCAUUGUAUGCAUUGGAAACUGGUAGACUUGAGUGCAGGAGAGGAGAGUGGAAUCCCAUGUGUAGCGGUGAAAUGCGUAGAUAUAUGGAGGAACACCGGUGGCGAAAGCGGCUCUCUGGCCUGUAACUGACACUGAGGCUCGAAAGGCGUGGGAGCAAACA